rnacentral:rRNA from 1 species
UACGAAGGGGGCUAGCGUUGCUCGGAAUCACUGGGCGUAAAGGGCGCGUAGGCGGAUCUUUAAGUCGGGGGUGAAAGCCCAGGGCUCAACCCUGGAAUUGCCUUUGAUACUGGAGAUCUUGAGACCGGAAGAGGUAAGUGGAACUGCGAGUGUAGAGGUGAAAUUCGUAGAUAUUCGCAAGAACACCAGUGGCGAAGGCGGCUUACUGGUCCAGUUCUGACGCUGAGGCGCGAAAGCGUGGGGAGCAAACAGG